rnacentral:rRNA from 1 species
UACGAAGGGGACUAGCGUUGUUCGGAAUCACUGGGCGUAAAGCGCACGUAGGCGGAUAUGUCAGUCAGGGGUGAAAUCCCGGGGCUCAACCUCGGAACUGCCUUUGAUAAAGCAUAUCUUGAGUCCGAUAGAGGUGGGUGGAAUUCCUAGUGUAGAGGUGAAAUUCGUAGAUAUUAGGAAGAACACCGGUGGCGAAGGCGGCCCACUGGAUCGGUACUGACGCUGAGGUGCGAAAGCGUGGGGAGCAAACAGG